GGUCUAUGGCCUAAUGGAUAAGGCCUCGGUCUCCUAGACCGAAGAUUCCAGGUUCGAGUCCUUGCUGGAUCG
rnacentral:tRNA from 1 species